AAGUCAGUUGGCAGAAAACAGUUACUGGUUAGAAGAUGUAUUGCAGCUCUGUGUAAAAAGGAAGGAAGUGCCCUAUUUACUUCAAACAAGAAUAAAUUCUUGGCUGUCAUUUGUCUUCAGCAGCAUCUUUGACUAUCAAUUCCCACGUGAAGACAGAACAAUUGUUGUGCCAAGACAACCCAGGCUACCCUGAGAUGCUUGAGGGACCAGAGUGAGGACUGAACAUUAACCUCAACAGCAGGCUGUUUUUCCAGCUGCAAAUGUCUCAAAGCCUCUUAGUGAGGCAUCACAUCGAGUAGUGUUCAAAGCAAUCAACAGAGUAGUAAGAUGACAUCAGUGAAAAUUUAUGAAUGGAACUGAUCAAAAGGCAUUGCUCAUAGAAACACACCUUUAUGAAAAUUAAUUCCAGCGAUGGUGUGACACAGCCACCACAGGCAUAGCUGACAUACAAGAGCAUCCCAUGACUCAGGCAAGUGACCCGUUGGUGUAGAGAAACUUCAGAUUUAAACUAUGUACGCCACUGUUUUCAGCGGAGCAUCUCAGCUUUAGCCACCUGUAGUUCUUAUGGAUAAUAUAUCUGCAAGCUUUGGAUACAGACUGGAACGAAAAGCCAUCUUUAACUAGCUGUUCUGUCCAGCCACAUGCACAAAGAAUGGAACUAGCACAAUUUGUGUGAUAGCCAGGCCAUCAGUUAAAUGAGGGAGCUCCUUUUAAUCUGAGAGUAAAACUUUAGUUGAUUCGUCCCAGACCCACCAAUGACAUGACGAACAUUCAGAAUCCUAAACUAAAGCUAUUGAUAACACUGACCCACCAUGCCUGGUGGGGAAGCAAGAUAUCAUUCCUUUUGCCACCAAAUUCACAGGCCUAGUGUUGCUUUGCAUUGCCUCUCAUUUACCUCUAUAUAUCUGGAGGGACUCCAUCAACCCAGGGACAUCAUAAGAGUCCUGAAGAUCCAUUGAGAUGGGCUGUGGUUCCUGCAGUGAUACCCCCUCGCUCCUAGGAAGAACAUGUCAAAAAUUAUCCAACAGAAGCCAAAGAUGCCAUUUUGUGCCCCUCCAGUUUGAGACAUGAAAGAGUAGAAGAAGAGCAUAUUUGAUGUACUGACCUGGUCAAGGUGUGUUUUACAUCCUAGAAUAAGAAAACAGAAACAUUGUAAAUGCCCAGGUGAUCUAUAAUCAUGUCCUUGUAACAUUGAUCAGGAAAUCUACAAUUACGAGCAGUAUUGCUGCUGCUUUACCGGAAGAGCAUGAUAGAAGAUACAGAGUGCGACCUCUAAUUUAGUUACACUGGAGUUUCUUUUCCUUAAUGAAGAAGUUUCUAGCCCUCAUGGUUUUGGAGAAAAAGUUGGAUAAACCUGGUGCUUGCAACAACGUUCCCAUUUAUUCAAAGCUCAGACUUAUCUCAUUCAGAGACAUAACGUGGCUGCACAAAUCACAGGGAGCAUAGUCUAGGUCUCUGUGUAUGCACCAUUAUUUCCUAGGAACCCAGAAAAAGCAGAGAGAGUGAUAUAUUAAAGAACAGAAUUCAACUUCUGAAAUAUCAGUUUUAUUAAUUUUGUGUUUCCUGCCCUUAUGGCUGUGAAAUCUGAGAAGUGAGUAGCACUAUCCCCCAAAAUCAAGAUUUCCAGGGCUUCAUUGCCCUUCCUAGAAUCUUGCCCAUCUUAUGUUUAGCAAGACAAGAAUGAUUCCAAGUAGUAAACUUGCAGACUAAAUUAUGCAAAAUAAGAACUGCUUCCACUAACUACAUUCCCUUCCUCAAACUCCAAUCAACAUCUGAGGCCCUGCUGUGGGUUCCCCCAUCCACCGAGUUUCAGCAGCUGACUACACAGGUCAGGGUCUUUUCAACUGUGAAAUACCCAGCAAAGAUGACAGGCUUCCAUGAGUCAAUGAAUUCAUCCAUUUCCAGAACCUCGUCUAUCACUGAACAUCCGUGGAGAGAUGUUUUCUCAGCCAACACUCACCUUCUUCCUUUUCCAACUAUAAUGCUAUUCACCAGCAAGUGAAGGGAUGAGAGGGAUCAAGUCAGAAAGCAGCAUUCCAUCAGACAUAAGAAAAAAAAGGAUUAUAGAUCACAGAAAAGAGUUCUACAGGACACAGUUAAGACCCUGAUCCAUUGGAGCAGACAGGACCGGAACUGGGAGGUACCUCAGGCAGUGAAGUGAUAUCAACAAGCAUAAUGUGCAUAGCCCUGUCCUACUGGAGUGAGUUGGGGAUCACAACCCAUCUUAAGGAUGUCCUCCUACACUGCCCAGGAAAGACCUGCACAAUGCAAAAAUCAGUAUGGCAUCUAUACAAUAAAGCACACUCUCCCAGACUGCAAAAUGGGUGAAGCAUGCUUUUUUCAGAAUAAACUUGGAGGCACACUUUGCUCUUUCGCCCCACAAAUGUUUCCUGUUACAGUGUAUAUGAAUAAGGAUUACCCACUCUCAGGGAAGUCCACCCGUGACACUGCCACACCUGUCCUGGACAUGCCUCCUGAUAGGAAGGAGCAGUGACUCAUGCAGACUGAGCAGGCAGCCUUUCCUAUGGGUGGAUAUGUUUGGUGCAGUGGUUAUUAGACUAGGACCAAGGAGAUUUAACUCCCCACUCAAUCAUGAAGCUCACUGGAUAAUCUUGGGCCAAUCACUCCCCACCUAACCUACCUCACAGAGUUGUUGGCGUCAAAUAGUAGAGAGAGAACCAUGUAUGCCACCCUGAGUUAUUGGAGGAAGAACAGGGUAAAAAUGCAAGAGUGCACAUGUGUGUAUGCACACACAUCACCAAAAGUAAAAACCUUAUGAGAAACUACACAUCAGGACCAGAUGACGCUAAGCACAACUCCCAUCUUUCCCAGCCAAAGGUCAUUGCAGCUACAUAUGAUAGAUGCUGUCAUCAACAGAAUCUGGGAAACCCUGUUACAGGGAAUAAACUUCAGGACCCACACACACAAAGCCAUAUUGGACAUUUGAACGUAUUAGACUUGGGUCAUUUUUACACCUUGCAUCAAGUUCUUCAUACAUGUUUGCUCAAAAUCAGAGUCAAAUUCAGUUGUCAUUACAGCCUUAUGUACAAAUACGCUUUUUAAUAUCUUCAGUAUUUUCCCCAAAUUACAGAACAGCAACAGGUAGCAGCUGUCCAGCCAAAUCUUCAAUAAUCUCACAGUAGUCAACUGUGGCCUGAUAUUCUUAUUUACUUAAUUAGAUGUAACAGGAUUGUUAAGAUAUCGUAAA